CCAGCGCUACCAACUCCUUUUUGCGGCCUGUACACUUAAAAUUUCGCUUUCUCGUGUAUUCUUUAAGUGCAUGAACCUACCAGGUCUCUGUCACAUCGUAUGAAAUAUCCUCCAUCCUUAAAAUAACCGUAAAAUCGGCGUUUUUCGCACUUUGGUCAGAAAAAUCACAUACAAAGCAAUGGCGGCCUCCUCGUGAGUUUGCUCACGGAUCUCCCACAAUACAACAGCGAGACGCCAUUUUUUGGGAAUGGGUAAUUCAUGUAUAUUACUUUUCCUUCAGCUGCUCAUGUCCCUAUCGUCGUGUUUAGAACUUACAGGUCUUGCCUUUACAUUAGUUUAUUGACGUCUGUAAGACAUGGCUAAUAAAAGGCUCCGCGUAUACCUAGUAAUUGGAAGAAAGGUGAGUUAUUAGGUAAGGGCGGAUUUGGUGAGGUAUAUAAAUGUUAUGACAUGGAUACAGGUCGGGAAUACAGUGUUAAAAUGAUUCAACUUGGUAAUUUAAAUGAUGAAACCGAAAUGGACGUGCUAGCCUUAGAUGGAUUACAUCUGCUGAAGAGUCUUCAACAUGAGAGGAUUGCUCAAUAUUAUGGAUGUCAGAGGGAUGAUAAAGUAUUAUCAAUAUUUAUGGAAUAUAUGCCUGGUGUAAGUACUUUAUUAUUAUCCAGCACCCAAUAACGUUCGACAGGGAUAUUGAGAUCGGCCUCGUCCUUCCACCUGUCUGUUCUAGUUUUGUUUCAGUUUUUUUUGUUUGAUAGAGUAUUAUUUGACUUAGUCGACUUCGUCUGCUUGUUAAUUUUUGAGCAGUAAAAAGAAAACAUCAUCCUUGUAAGAUCUCUACAGCCAUAUUAUAGAAAUUAUUAAUUAGACCUUUAUUUAUAUAACAAGCCCACGAUUAACCCUGUAGACCCUCGGAUGACUUGGCUACAGCUUGGAUUUAAACAGUCGUCCAACUUGAUAAUCGAGAAUAUGUAGGCGGAGUUAUCGUCUGACAAUCAAACGAUCGGCAAUUCUCGGAUCCUUGCAUAGACAGUUGAUGCCAAUUUCUAGCCCAAACUUCCAGCAGUGAUAAUUUCAUUCAGAAUAAAGUAAUUUGAUUGA